UAAUACAUGCAAGUCGAACGGUAACCCUUGGAUUCGUCUGAGGGGGAGAGUGGCGAACUGGUGAGUAACACGUAGGUGACCUGCCUCGAAGACGGGGAUAACCAUCGGAAACGGUGGCUAAUACCCGAUACAUUCGGCAAUUCAGUUUGUCGAGUAGAGCUCCGGCGCUUCGAGAUGGACCUGCGGCCUAUCAGCUAGUUGGUAGGGUAAUGGCCUACCAAGGCGAAGACGGGUAGGGGGCGUGAGAGCGUGGUCCCCCACACUGGCACUGAGAUACGGGCCAGACUCCUGCGGGAGGCAGCAGUCGGGGAUAUUGCACAAUCAGCGAAAGCUGGAUGCAGCGACGCCGCGUGGGCGAUGAAGGCCUUCGGGUUGUAAAGCCCUUUUAUGGGGGAAGAGAAAAAGGACGGUACCCCAAGAAUAAGUCCCGGCUAACUACGUGCCAGCAGCCGCGGUAAAACGUAGGGGACAAGCGUUAUCCGGAUUUACUGGGCGUAAAGAGCGUUGAGGCGGUUCCGUAAGUUGGGCGUUAAAGCCCCGGGCUCAACUCGGGGAGGUCGUUCAAUACUGCGGAACUUGAGGGCAGCAGAGGGAGGCGGAAUUCCCGGUGUAGCGGUGAAAUGCGUAGACAUCGGGAGGAACACCAGUGGCGAAGGCGGCCUCCUGGGCUGCUCCUGACGCUGAAGGCGAAAGCUAGGGGAGCGAACGGGAUUAGAAACCCCGGUAGUCCUAGCCGUAAACGAUGGAUGCUGGGUGUGGGGGGUAUAGAUUCCCUCCGUGCCGAAGCUAACGCGUUAAGCAAUCCACCGCCUGGGGACUUUUACGGCCGCAAGGCUAAAAACUCAAACGAAUUGACGGGUCCCCGCACAAGCAGCGGAGGCGUGUGGUUUAAUUCGAUGCUAAACCAA
rnacentral:rRNA from 1 species